GAUGAACGCUGGCGGCGUGCCUAAUACAUGCAAGUCGAGCGAACAGAUAAGGAGCUUGCUCCUUUGACGUUAGCGGCGGACGGGUGAGUAACACGUGGGUAACCUACCUAUAAGACUGGAAUAACUCCGGGAAACCGGGGCUAAUGCCGGAUAACAUAUAGAACCGCAUGGUUCUAAAGUGAAAGAUGGUUUUGCUGUCACUUAUAGAUGGACCCGCACCGUAUUAGCUAGUUGGUAAGGUAACGGCUUACCAAGGCAACGAUCCGUAGCCGACCUGAGAGGGUGAUCGGCCACACUGGAACUGAGACCCGGUCCAGACUCCUACGGGAGGCAGCAGUAGGGAAUCUUCCGCAAUGGGCGAAAGCCUGACGGAGCAACGCCGCGUGAGUGAUGAAGGUCUUCGGAUCGUAAAACUCUGUUAUUAGGGAAGAACAAAUGUGUAAGUAACUAUGCACGUCUUGACGGUACCUAAUCAGAAAGCCACGGCUAACUACGUG
rnacentral:rRNA from 1 species